UGAAACGGAACAGGAACAGCGCCUGGACAGGAACACAUAGCAAACACAAUACGGAAUAAUGCAGACACAGGGAACAUAACCAAGGAACAGACAGAUAUUCCGGGGUUAAUCAACAAAGUGAAGGAGUCCAGACAAGCCAGAUGUUCCACCCAGAUUUGCAGAUCACAUACCACCAUAGUCCCUGUGCCAAAGAACACCAAGAUCCACAGAUGAUGCAAUCUCUAUUGCACUCCACACUGCCCUUUCCCACCUGGACAAAAGGAACAACUACGUGAGAAUGGUAUUCAUUGACUUCAGCUCAGCGUUCAACACCAUAGUACCCUCAAAGCUCAUCUCUGAGCUAAGUACCCUGGGACUAAACACCUUCCUCUGAAACUGGAUCCUGGACUUCCUGACGGGCAGCCCUAACGUGGUAAAGGUAGGUAACAACAC